rnacentral:rRNA from 1 species
AACGAACGCUGGCGGCAUGCCUAACACAUGCAAGUCGAACGAGACCUUCGGGUCUAGUGGCGCACGGGUGCGUAACGCGUGGGAACCUGCCCUUAGGUUCGGAAUAACUCCCCGAAAGGGGUGCUAAUACCGGAUAAUGUCUUCGGACCAAAGAUUUAUCGCCUUUGGAUGGGCCCGCGUUGGAUUAGCUAGUUGGUAGGGUAAAAGCCUGCCAAGGCGACGAUCCAUAGCUGGUCUGAGAGGAUGAUCAGCCACACUGGGACUGAGACACGGCCCAGACUCCUACGGGAAGCAGCAGUGGGGAAUAUUGGACAAUGGGCGAAAGCCUGAUCCAGCAAUGCCGCGUGAGUGAUGAAGGCCUUAGGGUUGUAAAGCUCUUUUACCCGGGAUGAUAAUGACAGUACCGGGAGAAUAAGCUCCGGCUAACUCCGUG